UACGGAGGGGGCAAGCGUUGUUCGGAAUUACUGGGCGUAAAGGGCUCGUAGGCGGCCAACUAAGUCGGACGUGAAAUCCCUCGGCUUAACCGGGGAACGGCGUCCGAUACUGGAUGGCUUGAGUUUGGGAGAGGGAUGCGGAAUUCCAGGUGUAGCGGUGAAAUGCGUAGAUAUCUGGAGGAACACCGGUGGCGAAGGCGGCGUCCUGGACCAAAACUGACGCUGAGUAGCGAAAGCCAGGGGAGCAAACGGG
rnacentral:rRNA from 1 species